rnacentral:rRNA from 1 species
AACAAACGCUGGCGGCGUGCCUAAUACAUGCAAGUCGAACGGGGAGAGCUUUCGGGUGAGUACUAGUGGCGCACGGGUGAGGAACGCGUGGAUAAUCUGCCUUAGAGUGGGGAAUAACUAGUCGAAAGAUUAGCUAAUACCGCAUAAGACCACAGGAGCUGCGGCUCAAGGGGUCAAAGGUUUUUCGCUCUAAGAUGAGUCCGCGUAAGAUUAGCUAGUUGGUGAGGUAACGGCUCACCAAGGCGACGAUCUUUAACUGGUCUGAGAGGAUGAUCAGUCACACUGGAACUGAGACACGGUCCAGACUCCUACGGGAGGCAGCAGUAGGGAAUAUUGCACAAUGGAGGAAACUCUGAUGCAGCGACGCCGCGUGAGUGAUGAAGGCCUUCGGGUCGUAAAGCUCUGUCGCAGGGGAAUAACACAAUGAAUGUACCCUGUAAGAAAGGAUCGGCUAACUUCGUGCCAGCCGCCGCUGUAAAAC